GAUGAACGCUGGCGGCGUGCCUAAUACAUGCAAGUCGAGCGAACAGACGAGGAGCUUGCUCCUCUGACGUUAGCGGCGGACGGGUGAGUAACACGUGGAUAACCUACCUAUAAGACUGGGAUAACUUCGGGAAACCGGAGCUAAUACCGGAUAACAUGUUGAACCGCAUGGUUCAACAGUGAAAGACGGUCUUUCUGUCACUUAUAGAUGGAUCCGCGCCGCAUUAGCUAGUUGGUAAGGUAACGGCUUACCAAGGCAACGAUGCGUAGCCGACCUGAGAGGGUGAUAGGCCACACUGGAACUGAGACACGGUCCAGACUCCUACGGGAGGCAGCAGUAGGGAAUCUUCCGCAAUGGGCGAAAGCCUGACGGAGCAACGCCGCGUGAGUGAAGAAGGUCUUCGGAUCGUAAAACUCUGUUAUUAGGGAAGAACAAAUGUGUAAGUAACUAUGCACGUCUUGACGGUACCUAAUCAGAAAGCCACGGCUAACCACGUG
rnacentral:rRNA from 1 species